UACAGAGGGGGCGAGCGUUGUUCGGAAUUACUGGGCGUAAAGGGCGCGUAGGCGGCCUUCUAAGUCGAACGUGAAAUCCCCGGGCUCAACCCGGGAACUGCGUCCGAUACUGGGAGGCUUGAAUCCGGGAGAGGGAUGUGGAAUUCCAGGUGUAGCGGUGAAUGCGUAGAUAUCGGAAGGAACAUCGGUGGCGAAAGCGGCUUCCUGGACCAGUACCGACGGUCAGGCACGAAAGCGUGGGGAGCAAACAGG
rnacentral:rRNA from 1 species